GGUGAGGUGCUGGAGAGGCCGAACAGGCCACGGUGCUAACGUGGUAUACCCGCAAGGGUAUCGUGGGUUCGAAUCCCACCCUCACCGCCA
rnacentral:tRNA from 1 species